rnacentral:rRNA from 1 species
GAUCAAAUCAAGCGCAAUAAGGGCGUUUGGUGGAUGCCUUGGCAGUAAGAGGCGAUGAAGGACGUGAUACUCUGCGAUAAGUCAUGGGGAGCUGAGAAUAAGCUUUGAUCCAUGAAUUUCCGAAUGGGGCAACCCACCUGAUACUCGGUUAUUGUUAGCCUUAGGGUUAUCAAUAAUCGGGUGAAACAGGUAUUUGAGACCUGAACACAUAGGGUUUCAAAGGCAAACCCGGGGAACUGAAACAUCUAAGUACCCGGAGGAAAGGACAUCAAUAGAGACUCCCCUAGUAGCGGCGAGCGAACGGGGACCAGCCGAGCCUUGAGUGUGACCAGAACAAUCUGGAAAGAUUGACCAUAGUGGGUGACAGUCCCGUAUGGGAAGCACGAUAGGACGUAUCAAGUAGGGCGGGACACGUGAAAUCCUGUCUGAAGAUCGGAGGACCACCUCCGAAGGCUAAGUACUCCUUACUGACCGAUAGCGAACCAGUACCGUGAGGGAAAGGUGAAAAGCACCCCGACGAGGGGAGUGAAACAGUACCUGAAACCGAACGCCUACAAGCAGUCGGAGCCUCCUUGAGAGGUGACGGCGUACCUUUUGUAUAAUGGGUCAUCGACUUGGUCUCACGUGCAAGCUUAAGCCGAUAGGUGUAGGCGCAGCGAAAGCGAGUCUUAAUAGGGCGUCGAGUUCGUGGGAUCAGACCCGAAACCGAGUGAUCUAGCCAUGACCAGGAUGAAGGUUGGGUAACACCAACUGGAGGUCCGAACCCACACCUGUUGAAAAAGGUCGGGAUGAGUUGUGGCUAGGGGUGAAAGGCCAAUCAAACUCGGAGAUAGCUGGUUCUCCGCGAAAUCUAUUUAGGUAGAGCGUCAUCCGAAUACCCGGGGGGUAGAGCACUGGAUGGGUAAUGGGGCCCCACAGGCUUACUGAUCCUAACCAAACUCCGAAUACCCGGGAGUACUAGAUGGCAGACACACGGCGGGUGCUAACGCCCGUCGUGAAGAGGGAAACAACCCUGACCUCCAGCUAAGGCCCCUAAUUCAUGGCUAAGUGGGAAAGCAGGUGGGACGACCAAAACAACCAGGAGGUUGGCUUAGAAGCAGCCAUCCUUUAAAGAUAGCGUAACAGCUCACUGGUCUAAAUAAGUUGUCCUGCGGCGAAGAUGUAACGGGGCUCAAGCCAUGAGCCGAAGCUGAGGAUGCACAUAGUGCAUGGUAGCGGAGCGUAGUGUGACAUAAUCCCAUGUCUCCUUCACGGGUUCGCCCGGACUGGAGACGCGGGAUUUUCUGUGAAGCCGGGGCGUGAGCCAUCCGGUGGAGAGAUCACUAGCGAGAAUGAUGACGUGAGUAGCGACAAACAGGGUGAGAGACCCUGUCGCCGAAAGUCCAAGGGUUCCUGCUUAAAGCUAAUCUGAGCAGGGUAAGCCGACCCCUAAGGCGAGGCCGAAAGGCGUAGUCGAUGGGAACCAGGUUAAUAUUCCUGGGCCAUGUGGUGGUGACGGAUCGCAGGUGUAGUUCGACCUUAUCGGAUUGGUCGGGCUGCUGAGCGGUUCCUGGAAAUAGCCCCACUAUCAGAUCGUACCCUAAACCGACACAGGUGGACUGGUAGAGAAUACCAAGGCGCUUGAGAGAAUGAUGUUGAAGGAACUCGGCAAAAUACCUCCGUAAGUUCGCGAGAAGGAGGCCCCGUUGGCAGGCAACUGUUGGCGGGGGGCACAAACUAGGGGGUGGCGACUGUUUACUAAAAACACAGGGCUCUGCGAAGUCGCAAGACGACGUAUAGGGUCUGACGCCUGCCCGGUGCCGGAAGGUUAAAUGGAGGGGUGCAAGCUCUGAAAUGAAGCCCCGGUAAACGGCGGCCGUAACUAUAACGGUCCUAAGGUAGCGAAAUUCCUUGUCGGGUAAGUUCCGACCUGCACGAAUGGCGUAACGACUUCCCCGCUGUCUCCAACAUCAACUCAGCGAAAUCGAAUUGCCUGUCAAGAUGCAGGCUUCCCGCGGUUAGACGGAAAGACCCCGUGCACCUUUACUACAACUUCGCACUGGCAUCAGGACUGCAAUGUGCAGGAUAGGUGGUAGGCUUUGAAGCAGGAACGCCAGUUUCUGUGGAGCCUCCCUUGAGAUACCACCCUUUGCAUUCUUGAUGUCUAACCGCGGCCCGUUAUCCGGGUCCGGGACCCUGCGUGGUGGGUAGUUUGACUGGGGCGGUCGCCUCCUAAAGAGUAACGGAGGCGCGCGAAGGUUGGCUCAGAGCGGUCGGAAAUCGCUCGUUGAGUGCAAUGGCAGAAGCCAGCCUGACUGCGAGACUGACAAGUCGAGCAGAGUCGAAAGACGGCCAUAGUGAUCCGGUGGUCCCAAGUGGGAGGGCCAUCGCUCAACGGAUAAAAGGUACGCCGGGGAUAACAGGCUGAUGAUGCCCAAGAGUCCAUAUCGACGGCAUCGUUUGGCACCUCGAUGUCGGCUCAUCUCAUCCUGGGGCUGGAGCAGGUCCCAAGGGUAUGGCUGUUCGCCAUUUAAAGAGGUACGUGAGCUGGGUUUAGAACGUCGUGAGACAGUUCGGUCCCUAUCUGCCGUGGGUGUAGGAUACUUGAGAGGAGUUGCCCCUAGUACGAGAGGACCGGGGUGAACGUUCCACUGGUGGACCAGUUGUCGUGCCAACGGCAGUGCUGGGUAGCUAUGAACGGAAAGGAUAACCGCUGAAGGCAUCUAAGCGGGAAGCCCCCCUCAAAACAAGGUAUCCCUGAGAGCCGUAGAAGACCACUACGUCGAUAGGCCGGAGAUGUAAGCGCAGUAAUGCGUUCAGUUGACCGGUACUAAUUGCUCGAUAGGCUUGAUUUGAUCCAG